rnacentral:tRNA from 1 species
GACGUCGUGCCGGAGUGGUUAACGGGUGCGCCUGCUACUUUUAGCAUGUCAGUGUAUAGGCUCUGCCUGCGUGAGUUCGAAUCUCAUCGACGUCG